rnacentral:tRNA from 1 species
GCUGGGUAGCUCAGUUAGUAGAGCACGAGGGUCGUGGGUUCGAGCCCCAGGUUAGGCG